GACGGUGGUGUCGGCAACUCCGAGGCCUGGAUUUGGAUCCUCUGCUGCAAAUCCCCAGCACUAAGCAACUCCUGGAAGGCACUGACUCCGCCCAGCCCAGCAUCCUGGAUGGCCCAGCAUCCUCAGUAUUGGACCCUCCCCCGUCCGCCGGUCCCGCCCCUGACCGUAGGUCCAGCCCACUGAUGGGUCAAACCUUCGCACAUUGGUCCAGCCCUCGUCCAUUGGCCCAGAGGUCCCCACUCGUCCUGCCGUCGCCCAUCGAGUCCGGACCUCGUCCAUCAGUCCUUCUCGCAGCCACUGGACACUUGUCAUUCUCCGACCACCCUGUGCGGUGGAGACCUGGAAUACUCCCGUACAGGAAGUUGCGGGGCCAUGGCGCUGCUUUCCUGAACGCUUGGCAGGUGCUGGGCCGAGCAGUCCCAGCAUCAUCCGAGUUGACUCCCGCCUUGACGAUCUGGGGUCCCCGAGCACUAAGCCUCUGUGCGUGGUCCGACGCCUCGCCUCCCCUCCCGCACGGUGCCCCCGGCCCUCCGUUCACCGUGACCCUACACAGCUCGCGUGACUCCUCCUUCCAACCGUUCCCCUCCGCCGGGCGGAGCCCCUGGUCUUCUGGCUGUGUCCUCGGCGUUUGCAGAGUGAAGACGCUGCUCCUGUCUAGGAAACCCCACGCUCCCCUGACACCCCUUCCCUCCGCCUCCCUCCAGAGUCGCUCUAAAGCUGCUGCGGGUGGGCGCCCUGGCCCCGGGCAGGUGCGAUCCAGCUCCUUAGGGGUCUGCCUGCUAGGCCUCGAGCAUUUCCCACGUUCUCCUCCGCAUGCUCUGCGUCUCUGUCCUCCAGUUCUCUCCUGUCCUCUGGCAUCCUAAUAUGCACAUUAAUUUUUUUUUCUCACCCGAGGACAUUUUUUUUCCCAUUGCUUUCAGAGAAAGAGAGAAAAAUAUAGAUGUGAGAGGGAACUCUCAGUCGAUUGCCUUCCGAAGGCACCGGAGGGGAACCCAAUGCAACCUUUCCUCAAGGGGACGUUGCCCCAACCAACCGAGCCACACCCCCCGGGGCCCAGUCCAUAUCUUCCCCCUCCUCACGUCCAAAUAGCAACAGGGCCCGCACACGCUCCCAAGAAAGGCUCUCUGCUUUCUCCCAGCCCUGCCUCUGCAGAUUCCUCCCUCCCACCCCAGGUUGAGCCUGCAUGGCUUCCAUUGUCCCCAAGUCCUUUCUCCUGGGGCCACGUCAUUUCCUGGACAUUCUCCAGUGUUCGUCAAAGCCUUUCAUGAGUUUAUUUGCCAUUAAUCAUCCACUGUCUGCUAGUUGCUACUAGUUUUAUUUUCUCAUAAAUAUCUUUGUAUAUAAAUUUCUGACACCUCUGAUCAUCCCCUUUCUUUAAAUUCCUGAAAGACACCUGUUAGGUAAGAUAGGUAGCGAACUAAGGCAGGGAGGAGGAGGGAGACAUGUCUUGGCCAUUGAUUUGGCAGUCCAGAGUUGGGUCCGGUAAGAUUGCCAGGUGUUUUGAACAUCACAAAGUGUGCAGGAGGAAGGGAGUCUUUGAGACUCUGUUCUGGGAAAGGGAGCCUCUAUAGCAAUUUCACUUAAGAAAAAGAU